UACGGAGGGUGCAAGCGUUAAUCGGAAUUAUUGGGCGUAAAGCGCGCGUAGGUGGAUUGUUAAGUCAGAUGUGAAAGCCCCGGGCUCAACCUGGGAAUUGCAUUUGAUACUGGCAGUCUAGAGUAUGGUAGAGGGUAGUGGAAUUCCUGGUGUAGCAGUGAAAUGCGUAGAUAUCAGGAGGAACAUCAGUGGCGAAGGCGACUACCUGGACCAAUACUGACACUGAGGCGCGAAAGCGUGGGUAGCGAACGGG
rnacentral:rRNA from 1 species